rnacentral:lncRNA from 1 species
AACAACAUAAUUACAUGAGUCUUUUUAUUUGAUGUGGGAUUCUCUUGCUUGAAAUAGUAUUCUUUGGGGCAUAUUUUUGACAUGAUUACGAUCACGGAUAACCCCUUCAGGAGAAAAACAUGCUUUUUUCUCUUUUACCAUGAAAAAAUAUACUAUACAUUAAUUUUUUUGUUUCUUCUAAUCUUAUCAGUACAGCUCAUUUUCUGCAGGAGAAUCGUGAAGAUAUGUGCUGAUCUUUAGGUCCUUUGUGCAGUUCAAGAUUUUAUGGGACUCCAGUUGCCUCCCUCAAUACCUUUAUUGAGACACAAUUUUUUGAAUUACAUUAACAUUAAAAUACUUUAACCAUGUCUUUUCCCCUUCUGUUCUGGCAGCUGCUGGGGAUGUCCCAAGUUAAAAAUGUGGAAAUUGAGAAUGACAAGGUCAACAUCUACCUGGAUCAGAUGGAUAACAAUGUCCAAAAGUACAAUUUCUCCGUGAAGCAGAGAACUGAAGUAUUGGAUCUGAAGGCAGCAACAGUGAAAGUCUAUGAUUACUAUCAUCCUGGUAAGCACAUCGCAUUGCAGCAGGGACAGGUAUAACCAAAUGGAUUCCAUUUAUUGAUGCACACGUCCUCUUUAGGUGUUAAUCAUAGAAGGCUUUACUCUAACACUGAAGGGAGCCAGGGGUGUGUACUUGGCUCCCGCCCUUUCCACAACUGCUCACUCUUGCGUUGAUAAGGGUUAUUUGUUGGAAGUGGGUUGUAAGCAUGUUCACAAAGCAUGUUCACUUCUCCACAAAGACCAGGAACCCUCAUAAACCAGCCUUCACAGCUGUGCGAAGCUCUACUUGAAGCUCUUCAGCCAUCUUUGCAGACCUACCUCACCAACCUUAGGAGCUUGGGAAUGGAGCAUGCAGAGGUGAAACCCCCUUCACUGUGAGACUACAGCCCUCAUUCAUGAAUGUCUGAAGUGGGCCCAUAUGUAGUCGGCAUGUAAAGAUUCAGAUGUACACUUACCGCAUCAGAGUCAUGUUAAUUUCACUGGGUCCAAAAUAAAUGAUAUGACAUAUUUUGACCCA